UACAGAGGUCUCAAGCGUUGUUCGGAUUCAUUGGGCGUAAGGGUGCGUAGGGGGCGCCGUAAGUCGGGUGUGAAAUCCUGAGGCUUAACCUCAGAACUGCAUUCGAUACUGCGGUGCUUGAGGACUGGAGAGGAGACUGGAAUUCAUGGUGUAGCAGUGAAAUGCGUAGAGAUCAUGAGGAAGACCAGUGGCGAAGGCGGAUCUCUGGACAGUUCCUGACGCUGAGGCGCGAAGGCCAGGGGAGCAAACGGG
rnacentral:rRNA from 1 species